rnacentral:misc_RNA from 1 species
UUACAUAUGCAUAUAGUGUUAAUUCUAUAAAAAUGUAGUAUCAACUCACAAAGUUAUCAGGUUAAAUUAGCUUUAUCAAUGAAUAAAAAUGUUGUUGCAUGACCAAUGUCAUACCGUGGUCAAGCCACGGUAUCCAGUAAAAAUUAUUUUGCUGAGUAUCGUAGUAAAAGUUAAGAUAUGAUGUUAAGACUUUUUUUGAGUCGUGCAAUAACAUUAACAGCAAACUAUAAUACAAGUCUAUCUUUU